rnacentral:rRNA from 1 species
UGGGGAAUCUUGCGCAAUGGGCGAAAGCCUGACGCAGCCAUGCCGCGUGAAUGAUGAAGGUCUUAGGAUUGUAAAAUUCUUUCACCGGGGACGAUAAUGACGGUACCCGGAGAAGAAGCCCCGGCUAACUUCGUGCCAGCAGCCGCGGUAAUACGAAGGGGGCUAGCGUUGCUCGGAAUUACUGGGCGUAAAGGGCGCGUAGGCGGAUCGUUAAGUCAGAGGUGAAAUCCCAGGGCUCAACCCUGGAACUGCCUUUGAUACUGGCGAUCUUGAGCAUGAGAGAGGUAUGUGGAACUCCGAGUGUAGAGGUGAAAUUCGUAGAUAUUCGGAAGAACACCAGUGGCGAAGGCGACAUACUGGCUCAUUACUGACGCUGAGGCGCGAAAGCGUGGGGAGCAAACAGG